rnacentral:rRNA from 1 species
GGGUAUGUGGGGUAGGGGAGCGUUCUGUAAGCCGUUGAAGGUGGUCUGUAAGGGCUGCUGGAGGUAUCAGAAGUGCGAAUGCUGACAUGAGUAACGAUAAAGGGAGUGAAAAACUCCCUCGCCGGAAGACCAAGGGUUCCUGUCCAACGUUAAUCGGGGCAGGGUAAGUCGACUCCUAAGGCGAGGCCGAAAGGCGUAGUCGAUGGGAAACGGGUUAAUAUUCCCGUACUUCUUACAAUUGCGAUGGGGGGACGGAGAAGGCUAGGUGGGCCUGGCGACGGUUGUCCAGGUUCAAGUAUGUAGGCGGGUGGUUUAGGUAAAUCCGGACCGCUACUAACGCUGAGAUACGAUGUCGAGCUACUACGGUAGUGAAGUCAUUGAUGCCAUGCUUCCAGGAAAAGCCUCUAAGCUUCAGAUUGUAAGGAAUCGUACCCCAAACCGACACAGGUGGUCGGGUAGAGAAUACCAAGGCGCUUGAGAGAACUCGGGUGAAGGAACUAGGCAAAAUGGUACCGUAACUUCGGGAGAAGGUACGCUCUUAUCAGUGAAGUCCCUUGCGGAUGGAGCAGACGAGAGUCGCAGAUACCAGGUGGCUGCAACUGUUUAUUAAAAACACAGCACUGUGCAAA